rnacentral:rRNA from 1 species
GAUGAACGCUAGCGGCAGGCUUAAUACAUGCAAGUCGAGGGGUAACACGGGUAGCAAUACCUGGUGACGACCGGCAAACGGGUGCGGAACACGUACAGAACCUUCCUUUAAGCGGGGGAUAGCCCAUAGAAAUGUGGAUUAAUACCCCAUAGUAAUAUUGUCUGGCAUCAGAUAGUAUUUAAAGAUUUAUCACUUAAAGAUGGCUGUGCGGCUGAUUAGGUAGUUGGUGUGGGUAACGGCCCACCAAGCCAGCGAUCAGUAACUGGUGUGAGAGCACGACCAGUCACACGGGCACUGAGACACGGGCCCGACUCCUACGGGAGGCAGCAGUAAGGAAUAUUGGUCAAUGGACGCAAGUCUGAACCAGCCAUG